UAUUAAUCAUUAUCGAGUUGUUGAACCAAAGAAAUUGUAGAGUGUCAGGUGGAAGUAUAGCUGGUAGGACUGUGUUUUAUAUUUUAUAUAUUUUGUAUGGAGAAAUAUAUGCAAUAGGUGAAAAAAUUAAUUAAUAAAUAUGACACUUUUGAACUGGUUGCAUUAUUGCCCUAUAUAUUUAUUAAAAUACAAAAUAU
rnacentral:misc_RNA from 1 species